rnacentral:rRNA from 1 species
CCUACGGGUGGCAGCAGUGGGGGAUAUUGGUCAAUGGCCGCAAGCCUGAUCCAGCGACGCCGCGUGAGUGAAGAAGGAUCUCGGUAUGUAAAGCUCUAUUAGCAGGGAAGAAGAAAUGACGGUGCCUGACUAAGAAGCCCCGGCUAAAUACGUGCCAGCAGCCGAGGUAAUACGUAGGGGGCAGGUGUUAUUCGGAAUUACUGGGUGUUAAGGGGGAGUAGGGGGUGAUGUAAGGCCGGAGGGAAAGGCGGGGGACUAAACCCCGUACUGCGCUGGAACCUAUGUGGCUGGAGUGCAGGAGAGGUGUGCGGAAUGCGUAGUGUAGCGGUGAAAUGCGUAGAUAUUAGGAGGAACACCAGUGGCGAAGGCAGCACACUGGAGUGUAACUGACGUUGAGGCUCGAAAGCGUGGGGAGCAAACAGGAUUAGAUACCCGAGUAGUC